rnacentral:lncRNA from 1 species
GGACAGCCUGAAAGGACCCAGGUCGCAAGGAGCUGGCACCCUGGGAUCGAGGGAGUGAGAAUCGCUUGAUGUCACCUCACCUGGCACAGGGGCCAGCGCGGGUGACGGGGAGGGACCCUGAGGUGCGUCGUGGUCCUAGACUACCUGUCUACGGUGUCUCAGAGGGAAGCAGUUGGUCCGGCGGGGAGGGGACGCGGCGCCAGCAGCAGCUGCUCACGGAAGGGCUGGAAGGGGCCGCAGGCCGGACCUAGAGCAGCCACCAGAAUCGGAAAACAAGGGUGCUCUGCCCUGGAGCCUCCAGAGCCCAGCCCUGCACACACCUUGGUUUCAGGCCAGGAGACCGCCUGGGGCCUCGGAACGCCAGGGCUGCAGGAUGAAUCGGUGUUGUUUUAAGCCACUGGGCGCGUGCUCACUGUGUCAGCGGUGAUGGAAUACCAGGAAGCAUCAGCUGGAAGGUGGAGUGGGUGGCCGGCAGGACCUCCAGGCCUGGCCCAGAGCACCGACCCUCCUUCUGGCCAUAGGGAGCCAAGUAGGCCCGGGGCUCAGCUCUUCCCGGCAUCGCUGGGGUGGAGUCUCGGGGUGAGGGUGGGGCUUUGAUGGGGAGGAGGGCCUGGCGUGGUUAUCACCCCCAAUCCCACUUUUCCAACCCAGCCUCCGCCUCAAGCCCCAGUCAGGGGAACAGGGGCCAUGGCAGGAGCUUAAGGUCCAAGGGGCCCAGCGAGCUGUCCAUUAGUGCCAGCUGCGGGGAGACCGCCCAGGCAGCCGGACCCUUGACCUUCUCUGCUGGCAUAAUCCUGGAGAGCUUCUCGGCCUGACCAGAGGCAAGGAGGAAGCCUCGGUCCUGGACAGGGUUCUCGUACAGCGGAGAAGCCAGAGCAGACAGGUGUCUGGGGAGAUGACAAAGGAGACCUGUGGUGGGAGACUGCUGCUACGGCACCAGUCCCAGCAGUCAACGAUGGGGCCCAACAAGGCACAGGCCCCGCCGUGUGGGAGAGUCAAGAGACCACAGCAUUUGGGGCUGUCGUCGCCUCUGGUCAGCCGCCGCCACCGCCUGUGUCACUGGACAGCUGGGUUUAAGCACAGGGGAACCACAGCUCGGAAUCUCAGCACGGGUCUCAGCAGGCGAACGGUAGAAAGGGCUCUGGUUGGUGGAGGUCCCGUCAUGGCUCAGUGGUUAACAAACACGACUAGCAUCCGGGAGGGCGAGGGUUUGAUCCCCGGCUUCGCUCAGUGGGUUAAGGAUCUGGUGUUGCCGUGAGCUGUGGUGUAGGUUGCAGACGUAGCUCGGAUCCCAUGUUCCUGUGGCUGUGGUGGAGGCCAGCAGCUACAGCUCCGACUCAG